UACGUAGGGGGCAAGCGUUGUCCGGAAUUAUUGGGCGUAAAGAGCUCGUAGGCGGUGUGUCGCGUCGGCCGUGAAAACCUGCAGCUUAACUGUGGGCUUGCGGUCGAUACGGGCAUCACUGGAGUUCGGCAGGGGAGACUGGAAUUCCUGGUGUAGCGGUGAAAUGCGCAGAUAUCAGGAGGAACACCGGUGGCGAAGGCGGGUCUCUGGGCCGAUACUGACGCUGAGGAGCGAAAGCGUGGGGAGCGAACGGG
rnacentral:rRNA from 1 species